GUCAAGCGUGUACGUCUGCAGACUGCAAGACGGGGGCGUAACUUGAAGUAGGCGUAACUUGAAGUAGGAGGCGUAACUUGAAGUUGUCCAAAUCACACAGAACCACGCGAGAUGUAGAAACGAGAUGUUGUUGGCAAGAUGGCAGCUCGUAAGGUGGCAACGCUUCAUCCAACGGUUUGUAGGGAAGGUACAUUGAAAACUCCAAUUUCUGAAGGCCCGAACUACAAAUGCCAGAUCUGCAGCAAAACAGGAGCGUAUGCAUAUGUUGUGGCACAUAUGCAAACCCAUGAGAAGACAGCUGUUAAACAUGGAGGAUAUAAAAUGUACAGAUGCCAUGGUGUAUGUUGCAGAAGCCAUCAUUAUCACUGCUGCUAUUGUGCAAGAAUUAUAACUCAGCAAAAUUUAUUUUUGAACCAUGUGCAGAAAUGUGGGUUAGCUGAAGCGUCAGCAGGUCCCUGUGUCUCUGCACCAUCCAGCGUCUGUGAACCAUCCAGCGUCUGUGCCCCAUCCAGCGUCUGUGAACCAUCCAGCGUCUGUGAACCAUCCAGCGUCUGUGAACCAUCCAGCCUCUGUGAACCAUCCAGCGUCUGUGAACCAU